UACAGAGGUCUCAAGCGUUGUUCGGAUUCAUUGGGCGUAAAGGGUGUGUAGGUGGCGCCGUAAGUCAGGUGUGAAAUCUCGGGGCUUAACUCCGAAACUGCAUUUGAUACUGCGGUGCUUGAGGACUGGAGAGGAGACUGGAAUUCAUGGUGUAGCAGUGAAAUGCGUAGAGAUCAUGAGGAAGACCAGUGGCGAAGGCGGGUCUCUGGACAGUUCCUGACGCUGAGGCACGAAGGCCAGGGGAGCAAACGGG
rnacentral:rRNA from 1 species